rnacentral:lncRNA from 1 species
UCUUUUCUGAAGAUAAAUCUCAAUGUUCAAUGCAAUAAUUGGAAAUUAAAGAAAUGGACUGUGAAAUGACAGGAGCUGAAAUAUUAAAGCUGUUCGUGAAAAUUAACCGGUUUGACCAGAUAAUUGUUUAGGGUCAAGUGCACUGAGUAUAUUAAAGAUAUAAGCAAGAAAAGCAAGUGCAUAUUCUUUAUUGUAUCCAUCAUUUGAAUGAAGGUAUAGCUAAAUUUAAUCAUGCUUGACACCUUAUUUUUUUUAAAUACUAUCUUUUAAAUAAUAUCAGGUAACGACAACGAAAACAACAAUAAGGCCUAAAAAAAACUUGUUCGCCGUCAUCCGCCGCCCCUAAAUUUCUAAAAAUGAGGGGCGGGGAUUUGUUUUUUUCGUAAGGGUUUUUUUUUAAGUUAAAAAGACCAUUUUUUUCGACAGGGAUUUUGAUUUUACACGACCGCUGGUUUUAUAGCACGCCCGUUUCGACCGUUUCACGCUUGGUUAAUUCUAAACUUUUCUUACCUCGUGGUUCGUACCAAACUCUUUGUUGGUACUGUAAUACUACUAUGACUAGGCCUACGCAAGGUGUCAAAAUGUCGGUUGUUGCUCUUUGUAACUUGUUUAAGGAGAAAGUUAAAGUAUGGUUAGUGUUUCUCGUUUUAAAACGACGAUGACUUCCUUAGAUGCUUUCAAUUCUUUAAAAAUGGACGCUGGAGUUCUUGGAGAUGUUUUCAUAGCCGCUGAUUUAAACGGACCAUGGCAUGAAAUCGAGCAUGUUGAAGUUGUUGUCAUGCAAUCGCUAUCGAUGUCGCAUGUACAAUUCUAUUAUAUUAAUGUCUGUAUUGGAAGCACAAGUCAACCAACAGCAAAAUGCAUUUUCUAUGCUAUUUGAAGGUAGUGGGCGUAGAGCGCUACCAUCCAAGAAAUGUGGUGAUGUACAGGCAUGUUUUUUGCACAGAGGGCCAGGACCUUCAUUCGCUGCAUGGAGUGCAACAAGCCACGUGUUGUUUAUUGCAUGAAGCCGAAGAAGAUAUCUAUACAACAGUUAAUGGACCUUGAGGUGGCUGUUAAGGAGUACGACUAUACAAGAAGGUCUUUGUAUGCAGAGGUGUUAAUUGCGCAAACCACAUAGAGUUUGCAUUCUACUCAGGACAAGUCGGCAACCAAUUAACCUGCUGUUAUUGUGGCGAAGAAAACGGAUCAAGGUCGUAGGAACUUGUCAUAAAAUACAAAGUCGUCCAGCCCAUUUGUGAUGGGGAAGGAAAGCCCGACGUCGCACUAGCGUCAUAAGUGAUGAGUGCUGCAAGAUGAAAUAUGAUGGAUUCACCCUAUCACAGAGUUGUUUGUUUAAAUGUCAACAUACAUUCACUGUUCCAUACUAGUAUAUUUGUUCACAAUAAAAGUGCUUAAAAAAAUUGAAGGAAGUUUGUGCAUUUUUUGUUUGCAUGUGCAUUUAUUAAUUAAUUCAUUAGAAUUCUAACUUACACAUAAAAUUAAAUAAAAACAUACUUAACGCAAAUCAUACACAAGUGCUGAGAUACCAACAGGAUCAAUGUCAAUACAUUUAAUAAGUAAAUGAAGCUGGUUAGCUUGACCUUAUACAUAGUGCAGUAGUAUAUUAUAUUCAUGUGUCUCACGGCAAUUACAGAUCCGUCUUCAAUCCCAAGCCACAAAAAAUAAGCCCCAAAUUGCAAGGAGACCUAUAGUGUACAUAUUUUCAAUUUCUACAUUUAAAAAAAAAACAAAAAAAAAACAAACCUUUUUUAUCCCACCCCUCAUCUUUUACAAACCUCUAUACAGACCAUUUUGUUAAUCUUCCUUUUAAAGAAAACAAAAAAAAAAACUUUUUUCCACCCGCCCUUCACUUAAAUAUUUACAAUGUGACAGCAAACAAACAAUUUUAAGGCCUAAUAAUAACAAUAAUAACAAUAGCACUCAGAGCAUAUCUUUAUUAACCGCCAAUUUCUUUCUAAAAAAAUGCUCAAAAAUAUGGCCUAGCAUUGUUUCCAGGCUAAUGUUUAUGGCGCCUACUGUAUUUCUUUGCAGACCUAUCACAAAAUCAAACAUAAAAAUUCAUUCGUGUUUAUUUUUAUUUAAAAAGUUCAGCCUUAUUUCACAUUUGUUUACAUGUUUAGGAAUGUCUAAAUCCAAUUAAACUAGCAAUUCUGUAUUAUAUUUAGAUAUCUUUAUAACAUUAUAAAAAUCAGAUUUUUCUAAGAGAUCAAACAUUUCCUGGAAGGGGGCUUUAAAUACCUUCAGUCAAAAGGUCAAAUGUCUUGACAGAGUAACAUGCAUGAUGCUGCGACUGUGUGCCUUUACUAUCAGUCGUCUCCUUGCCGAUAGUUUUAAUUAUAGCCUGUUGAGUGGUGAACUAGCGUGUAAACAGGCGAACAUCGUAUCAAUUUAUUAAAAAAAGACAAGCAACAAUUGAAAAAUUGCAGGCCUGUCGCCUUGACGUCACUGUUUUGCAAUACAUGUUUGAUAGUCUUGUUGAGGACGAUCUAAUUUACCAUCUUAACGAAUAUGACCUUAUAUGUAUAGCUGGCAAAUUGUUUUUACAAAAAUGAAAUCUUGCAAUACACUACUUGCAGAGGCAAUUACGUCGUGGACUCUUAAUCUUGAUUGACGGAUAGACGUGGUUUCCUUUGACUAAUCUCAUGCUUUUGAUUUGAUAUCGUAUACAAUCCUUAGGGGAAAGAUGAAACAAAUGGACGGAGUUCAUUUAUUUUUAUUUUUUUCAUUUUAAAAGACAUUUAUUUACUUCCAUAGAACACACAAAAUAUACAAUGCAAUAUGAUAUAAGAUAAAGACGAAAACAAGCUAUGGAAGAAGGCAUAAUCCAAAGAAGAUAAAGGUCUUGUGCUGGACAUGCCAUAAAGUAAAUAAAAGUUGGAACAAUCGUAAAAACGAAAUCAAAGGAAAAAACAAAUAAAUAAUAAAUAAAAAAAGAAAAAAUAAAUACUGUAAGUAAAUACAUAACGACUGUAGUUCAUUUAAAUACAGAACAAAUCGAAAUAUGACUGAGGAUAAAAUAGUUUAAUAGUUUGAAAUUAGGUGUAGUUUGAUUUUCUUUAAGAAAUGUUCUAAGAGAAUAUCAUUAAAAAUUGGCGGUGGGAGAUUGUUCAUCAUUGAAUGCCCUGAAUUUCUAAUGUUAUGUUGAAAAUAAUUAUUGUUGAGGGAAGAUAUGUGAAUAUGAGUUCUAGAUCGGGUGAGGUAAUUGUGAAUAGAGUAAUUGGGAAUAAACAUAUUGCAUAAAUAAUAAAAAGAAAUUAUAGGUAAUAUUCUAGGUUGAUUAGGAUCAUUUAUGGGAAGGAGUUAGCUUUAAAAAUAGACUACAAUGCGUUGUUUAUCAAGGGAAAUGCUCUUCUUGGACUAUGCUUUCAUGAGGAAUUCCACAAGGAUCAAGCCUGAGCAUAUUUUGUUAAACAUUUACGUGAGUGACUUAUAUCGUAAUUCAACAACAAACAAUUACAGUAUGCUGACGAUACUUUUAUCUCUAGGUGCACUUAUUCGGUGAAUGAUAUAUAUAUUUUACAAGACAAAAUCGUUUACAAAGAUAGUCGGAAUUAAACUUCAGUAAAUAUCAAGUUUUGUCAAUUGCUUUUCGGCGUAAUCCAAACAUAUUGGAAUAUUCAUUAAAUGAUCAAUGUCUCAAAAACGUAAAACAUGUAAAUAUUCUUGAUGCUAUGAUUUAGUUUUAUUUAUCUUGGAAUAAGGAAGUAGAAAAUGUGGCUUCCAAAUCGUUCAAAAUGCUAUGGUUCAUACGUUCUGUAGCUAAGAGCUGUUCAAACUCAAUCCUCUUGAAAUUAUAUUCUUCUUUUAUUUUUUAUAUAAAAAUAAAUAUAUUAUGAACUUUUUAAAAAUAACUUGAUGGCACUUGCUCAACUGUUAAGAUUUCUGUCCACCUAUUGUUAAAUUUGGAAUAUUUAGUAGGUCUAUGUUAAGUUUAUUUAUUUUUAAUACUGUAUUAUUUUUAUACUAAUGCAAUUACAAUAAUUUUUUUUAACACAUCUAAUUGUAAAAUAAAAUUUUGA